AACGAACGCUGGCGGCAUGCCUAACACAUGCAAGUCGAACGAGACCUUCGGGUCUAGUGGCGCACGGGUGCGUAACGCGUGGGAACCUGCCCUUAGGUUCGGAAUAACUCCCCGAAAGGGGUGCUAAUACCGGAUAAUGUCUUCGGACCAAAGAUUUAUCGCCUUUGGAUGGGCCCGCGUUGGAUUAGCUAGUUGGUAGGGUAAAAGCCUACCAAGGCGACGAUCCAUAGCUGGUCUGAGAGGAGGAUCAGCCACACCGGGACUGAGACACGGCCCAGACUCCUACGGGAGGCAGCAGUGGGGAAUAUUGGACAAUGGGCGAAAGCCUGAUCCAGCAAUGCCGCGUGAGUGAUGAAGGCCUUAGGGUUGUAAAGCUCUUUUACCCGGGAUGAUAAUGACAGUACCGGGAGAAUAAGCUCCGGCUAACUCCGUG
rnacentral:rRNA from 1 species